rnacentral:lncRNA from 1 species
UGCAGUUAAUAAAUUCCCCUUCAUCUUCUCCCUUUCCACAAACUAAACAAACAAUGUCAUGUAUGGGAGCAUACAUGAACAUGUCUCGACGUUUUUGUUCAUCCUCUUUCAACCACUUACUAAUCAGGAUGUUUUGGAGGACGGACUUCCGUGUCGCCACCAAAAUGCGUUUGUAUGGUUGUAUAUCCUCACUUUGAGCAUGCUUCUCAAACUUCCAUACAGAGAUUUCCUCGUCGCAACAGCUACAUAAG